rnacentral:rRNA from 1 species
GCCUACGGGGGGCAGCAGUGGGGAAUAUUGCGCAAUGGGCGAAAGCCUGACGCAGCGACGCCGCGUGAGGGAUGAAGGUCUUCGGAUCGUAAACCUCUGUCAGCAGGGAAGAACGGUCACUGUGCUAAUCAGCAGUGAAUUGACGGUACCUGCAAAGGAAGCACCGGCUAACUCUGUGCCAGCAGCCGCAGUAAUACGGAGGGUGCGAGCGUUAAUCGGAAUUACUGGGCGUAAAGCGCUCGUAGGCGGUAUGUCAAGUCAAGGGUGAAAUCCCCGCGCUCAACGUGGGAACUGCCUUUGAAACU